UGGGGAAUCUUGCGCAAUGGGCGAAAGCCUGACGCAGCCAUGCCGCGUGAAUGAUGAAGGUCUUAGGAUUGUAAAAUUCUUUCACCGGGGACGAUAAUGACGGUACCCGGAGAAGAAGCCCCGGCUAACUUCGUGCCAGCAGCCGCGGUAAUACGAAGGGGGCUAGCGUUGCUCGGAAUUACUGGGCGUAAAGGGAGCGUAGGCGGACAUUUAAGUCAGGGGUGAAAUCCCGGGCUCAACCUCGGAAUUGCCUUUGAUACUGGGUGUCUUGAGUGUGAGAGAGGUAUGUGGAACUCCGAGUGUAGAGGUGAAAUUCGUAGAUAUUCGGAAGAACACCAGUGGCGAAGGCGACAUACUGGCUCAUUACUGACGCUGAGGCUCGAAAGCGUGGGGAGCAAACAGGAUUAGAUACCCUGGUAGUCCACGCCGUAAACGAUGAUUGCUAGUUGUCGGGAUGCAUGCAUUUCGGUGACGCAGCUAACGCAUUAAGCAAUCCGCCUGGGGAGUACGGUCGCAAGAUUAAAACUUAAAUGAAUUGAC
rnacentral:rRNA from 1 species